GUGGGUAUGGUUGAAUGGUAAAAUUUAUCUUUACCAAGGAGAAGAUGUGGGUUCGAUCCUCGCUACCUGCC
rnacentral:tRNA from 1 species